rnacentral:rRNA from 1 species
CGUAGGUGGCAAGCGUUGUCCGGAUUUACUGGGCGUAAAGAGCGCGCAGGCGGUCGUUCAAGUCGCGUGUGAAAGCCCCCGGCUCAACUGGGGAGGGUCACGCGAUACUGAUCGACUCGAAGGCAGGAGAGGGUAGUGGAAUUCCCGGUGUAGUGGUGAAAUGCGUAGAUAUCGGGAGGAACACCAGUGGCGAAGGCGACCACCUGGCCUGUUUCUUGACGCUGAGGCGCGAAAGCUAGGGGAGCAAACGGGAUUAGAUACCCCGGUAGUCCUAGCCGUAAACGAUGGACACUAGGUGUUGGUGGUAUCAACCCCGCCAGUGCCGAAGCUAACGCAUUAAGUGUCCCGCCUGGGGAGUACGGCCGCAAGGCUA